UCUAACAAAAUGUGAGCCAAACCCCUCUCUCUUCAACCAAACCAGAAAACCAAACGACCCCCUCUUCUUCAAAUCACCAUCACCGCCAGUUCCACCGAAGGACCAGCGAACAAAAGCCGAUGUCGACGUCGCUGACACUACCUCACAUCAACCUCAGUCCCUUUUCCCCUUUUUCUUCAGGCAAUAGAGCUUCGAACAGCUCGUCCAAGUCGAAUCAGCCCCCAAAUCGAAAAGCACGCAAACAUCUUUGGGAUUCUAGGCCGCUCUUCCAACAAUCCAUAGGGUAAAAACUCGUUCAUCCAUCAGACCCAAAAACCAUGGAGAAGAAGUCUCCAAAUUUGGAGUCCUAAUGAACCUCUAGAUUUCAAAUCAUCUCUGAAAAAGUUCUCGGCUGAGCAAGGACUGCUUUAAGAGGAUUCGGAGACUCGACGACGACAUUAGCCUCAGUUCGCUGUCCCGGAGAAGGUCAGUAAUCACAUUCGUCUUCUCUUCGUCUUUAAUUCUGUAUAAGUCGAAAUAUAGUCGUGUUGUUGUUCUUAGCAUUCUUUGGAGUUCGAUGGUUCGAAUCUGCCUACACUUCAGUGUGUAUAAACAAGCAUGAAAUAGUUGUGGCAAUCUAUUAACGUUUAAAGAAAAUGAUCGUUUAGCUUGGUGAAUACACGAAUAGUAGUGUCGCUUGUCUAAAAAUCUGUUUGAGGGAUCCCUUAGGGGACUAUUUUAUCAUGUAAAAUCAAGUAUGUAAAAUGGCUAAAAUAAAUCAUAACCUCAAAACAAAUGUCCCGAUUUGUUGGUAGUUAAUACUAGUCUAUACAUAUAGGUUCGAAUAAUCAUUUUGUUUCUGUUAGUUUGAAUCGGUCUACAUCCCGUAAUCUUUUUUUUUUACCAUUAAGGCUGCAGCUAUAGAUGGCUUGAAUCAUGUUUUAUCCUUCGUUCAUGUCUUCAAAACCAGUUCUAGUAUGGAUCAUGGAUCAAUAUUAAGAUGUUUGCGUCAAAUAGCUGUUUUCUACUUUCAUUUGGAUAUGAGCAUGAAACAUUAUUUGUUUGAGGGCAUUGAAAGGUUAGCGUUGUCCCUGUUUUAGUUAGCUUAAAUAAAAUGGUUGAUAACAUAGCUACUGCUAAUAAGAUUUCCUAAAGCCCUACUAUAAAAUCCAUUUAGACCUUAUGACUGAAAAAUAUCAUGCCUUGGCUGAAGAUUGAGUUAAGUAGAGGUUAAGCUAACAAUUGAUUUAUUGGCUUUCUAUUUUGUUUAAACCUUGUUAAGUUAGUAGUUUUUUUGUUUUCUGUGUGAACGUGAAUAGGCGUAGGCUCAAAUCUGAAUCUUUCAUUCAAAUCUUAGUCCAUGUUCAUUUAGUUUAGAAUUAUUGGUGGUUUAGUUAGCCAAAUCCUUAAAAUAGUUUACUUCCUACCUUGAAAAAUGUUUUCAUCUUUUAUUUUCAAUCUCUUUUUCCUUUAAGAAAACAGGAGAAUGAAUUUGUGUGGGCUAAGUUGUUUUCCUUGGGAUUUUUUAUCAAAAUUAGGUGUUGCGUUCCUUGUUUAAAGUUUUAAUCUUUUUCUUUAGAAAACACAGGUUGUGCUUUAACUAAUAAGUGGAAACUUAGUUUUAACAGUUGGUAUGAACUUAGAGGGGUGGCUCUGAGAUUAGUGUUUUACUUCUAUUUUGAGGAUUGAAACCCUGUUUGUUUCCUCUUUAACUAAUAGGAAAAUUAUAAUUUAAACAAGUAAAGUCUCUUCUUUUCCUUGGAUCAACUGCUUUGUCCUCCCCCCCCCCCCCCCCCCCCCCCUUUUUUUUUUUACUGACUGCUUCUCUUCACUAGGAUUCUGCACUUAAAAGCCUGGUUAUAUAAUUCAUAAAAUUGCCAAUUGAUAAUGCUUGGAAUUGGUGCAGGAUAUGAACCAUUUACAUGUAUAAGUCCAGACCGUGUUGUGUCCCAAUAUAACUCUCGUGUUUGUCGUGUUCUGUUUCUAAGAUAUGAAUUCAUUUAUCACCUUAGCUAAAACUAGAGUGUAAUGACUUCAAGGAUAGAGUCACGAACUUGAAUGCGAAAAUUCAUUAAGCUACUUAGUGUUAACAAACUCGAUGGAUUGGUCUUAUUUAAAGUUGUUCAAUCCCGUUUAUAUCUAUUAUUUUCCUGAUACUUGAUUUAAUGAACCCUUAUUAGUGUUUACUGCAAAAGGCGAAUCAUGUUUCUAAUAUAGUCAUAUUGAUGGAUUUAAAUGUAGUGUACUAUGCGAUUGUUCUGAUUUUUUAUAAUCGACGAUCUAGAUCUGUUUGCUGGCUUGAUAACCAUUAAUAAACAUAUGUGAAGUACUAUUUCACCAGUAGACUAAUGAGAAGUUAAAAUAGUUGAAGAAUAUCCGGUCGGAAGUAGUAGUUGUUCGAUCUUGCUGUUCAAAUAUACUUAUGUUCAUAAUUUGAUGUUGUUUGUGUUCACAAGCAUCACAACUUGGAUAAGAAUGAGAUCGUGUUGUUCUUUACUAUUACUAAACAAAGUAUUUAUCUACAUGAACGUAGAAAGUGUAGAAUCUCGGUAAUACAUCCUGGAGUUUGAGUUAAUACGAUAUUUUGUUCAUGCUUAAGGAGAUAAGUUAGUAAAUAGGUAAUACCACCUCUAUAUUGGUUUGAUUGACAACUUGGGAUACUUAAAGUGUUGUCUGUAUAUAUUUCUUGUUUUCUCCUAAGUUAAAAACUACUUAAACUAGUUAAGUAAUGUGUUUAUUUUGUUUUGGUUAAGAAUGUUUCCAAUUUAGGAUGGUGAAUUGUUACUGUUAUGACUGGUUUAAGUUGUUGGAGUUGUUCUUAUACUUGUAAUUGUUGCAAAACUUUAACUGUUGUUUUCAACUUGAUAGCAAGACCAAAAAGGUUCCUUUUUUUUUUUUUUUGUUCCUUUCGUCUAUCCGAUUCACAUAUGCUCGAGAUACCAAUCUAUUAUGGUGAAUUCUUAUUGUUAGGAUUAGUUUAAGGCAUACUUCUCGUAAUUAAAUACCCCCUAAUUUAUCCAAAAAAUACAAACUGAUUACCGGUAUUCAAAUGAAGUAGGUCUGAAUAGAUUUAUAAAAUUCACACAUAUGUCUCGUAUUCAUCUUUGAUCAUGUAUGCUCUAGAGAUAAUUCUUGCUGUUAUGAUUGGUUUAUGAUGCAAUAGUAGUUGUGAUUCCUUCCAGAUUAUAUGACGUUCAGUUAAGUUUUUGUUGUUACUAAUCAUCGAGAUUUGUACCUAAUCCUUUUCUUUUCUUUCUUUUUACAUGAACACCAUGGGAGUUUGUUGGAGUUGUGGCUCAACUCUAAUUCUGCCCAGGUCAUAGGAGCAGUCAGCAGCAGAUUUAUUUGCUCGUGUCUAGCCGUCCCCUACUUUCGCGUCAAAAGAAUCCAUGUCCCUCUUCCUCUCUUAAAAUUUUAUAUCUUUUGUAUUACUAUAUGUUAUUCGCACCCUUUGACUAACAUCUUUUAUGGGUUUGUAUUUGUAGUAUUUUGUUUCUUGCUUGUUUGUGAACUCGUGAAUGGCCGAGCCUUGUCAUUGGCCACUUUUCCUUAGAUAUAAAUCUUGGUUUAAGGAUA